GAGCCGUUACCCCCGGCUUAUUCCGACGCCAGCUGUCUCGGCCCCACGGGGAUCAUUAUAUAUCCCUCCCGAACUCACACUCUCUUCUUCAGAACAUUCUCGCACAAGAAUCGGAGCGCUCCAUCAACGGUCUCCUCUCUUCUGAACGCUCGUUGCCGAAAUCAAACGCUAGAUAAUUACCAAGCAAUUGGAGGAAGAGAGAGCAGAAUCGAAAGGAGUUUGUCGCCUGAUCCCGGUGAUGAAAAAUACAGAUGAGAGGAGGACGCCGAACUGUUAUGUAAUUGCGAUUGGUUCCGAGAGGGGUAGAACAAAGCAGCUGCUCUUGAUGAAGUGAUUACUUGGGCAAAAGAAAAGCAGUUGAUCCUGUCGGGAUUUUCGAAUCUGCUAGGAAUACUGGUCAUGAUGAUGAACGAUAUGAGAGACAUACUAGUGCCUGGAUCAAUUUUUGAGACUGAUUUGAGUCAAGGGCAGAAUGAUGGCAAUCAAUUUGUUGAAAUCGAAGGAUGGUCCGAUUCAUAUAAAGUUUGUUGUAAACAAUUAGGGAUGCAUGAAAUAUAACCACACAUCUCAUUAAGAUGGAAAUGGAGGACAUAGAUGGAGAUGAUAAAGUGGAGGUCAAGGAAUCUAACUCCGGUUGCUACUUUCAACACUCCACGUAAGAAAUUUUCUACUUGACAUCAUAAACUACCUUAUCUAUAGCCUAGAUCUCAUGAGAAUUACGUUAUUGUCCUAUAUUUAAUCUUUAUUAUAUCUUUGCCUUUUCUUUUU